AGUGAACGCUGGCGGCAGGCCUAACACAUGCAAGUCGAGCGGCAGCGCGGGGCAACCUGGCGGCGAGCGGCGGACGGGUGAGGAAUGCAUCGGAAUCUACCCUGUCGUGGGGGAUAACGUAGGGAAACUUACGCUAAUACCGCAUACGACCGAGAGGUGAAAGUGGGGGACCGCAAGGCCUCACGCGAUUGGAUGAGCCGAUGCCGGAUUAGCUAGUUGGAGGGGUAAAGGCCCACCAAGGCGACGAUCCGUAGCUGGUCUGAGAGGAUGAUCAGCCACAUUGGGACUGAGACACGGCCCAAACUCCUACGGGAGGCAGCAGUGGGGAAUAUUGGACAAUGGGCGCAAGCCUGAUCCAGCCAUGCCGCGUGUGUGAAGAAGGCCUUCGGGUUGUAAAGCACUUUUGUUCGGGAAGAAAUCGUGCGGAUUAAUACUCUGUACGGAUGACGGUACCGAAAGAAUAAGCACCGGCUAACUUCGUGCCAGCAGCCGCGGUAAUACGAAGGGUGCAAGCGUUACUCGGAAUCACUGGGCGUAAAGCGUGCGUAGGCGGUUCGUUAAGUCUGCUGUGAAAGCCCUGGGCUCAACCUGGGAACUGCAGUGGAUACUGGCGGACUAGAGUGUGAUAGAGGAUGGUGGAAUUCCCGGUGUAGCGGUGAAAUGCGUAGAGAUCGGGAGGAACACCAGUGGCGAAGGCGGCCAUCUGGAUCAACACUGACGCUGAGGCACGAAAGCGUGGGGAGCAAACAGGAUUAGAUACCCUGGUAGUCCACGCCCUAAACGAUGCGAACUGGACGUUGGUUGCAACUUGGCAAUCAGUGUCGAAGCUAACGCGUUAAGUUCGCCGCCUGGGGAGUACGGUCGCAAGACUGAAACUCAAAGGAAUUGACGGGGGCCCGCACAAGCGGUGGAGUAUGUGGUUUAAUUCGAUGCAACGCGAAGAACCUUACCUGGCCUUGACAUCCAGUGAACUUUCCAGAGAUGGAUUGGUGCCUUCGGGAACACUGAGACAGGUGCUGCAUGGCUGUCGUCAGCUCGUGUCGUGAGAUGUUGGGUUAAGUCCCGCAACGAGCGCAACCCUUGUCCUUAGUUGCCAGCACGUAAAGGUGGGAACUCUAAGGAGACUGCCGGUGACAAACCGGAGGAAGGUGGGGAUGACGUCAAGUCAUCAUGGCCCUUACGGCCAGGGCUACACACGUACUACAAUGGUCGGUACAGAGGGUUGCAAUACCGCGAGGUGGAGCCAAUCCCAGAAAACCGAUCCCAGUCCGGAUCGGAGUCUGCAACUCGACUCCGUGAAGUCGGAAUCGCUAGUAAUCGCGGAUCAGCUAUGCCGCGGUGAAUACGUUCCCGGGCCUUGUACACACCGCCCGUCACACCAUGGGAGUUGGUUGCUCCAGAAGUAGGUAGUCUAACCGCAAGGGGGACGCUUACCACGGAGUGGUCAAUGACUGGGGUG
rnacentral:rRNA from 1 species